GAGGGUGACAGGUGGUGCAUGGUUGUCGUCAGCUCGUGUCGUGAGAUGUUGGGUUAAGUCCCGCAACGAGCGCAACCCUCGCCUCUAGUUGCCAGCAUUCGGUUGGGCACUCUAGAGGGACUGCCGGCGACAAGUCGGAGGAAGGUGGGGAUGACGUCAAAUCAUCAUGCCCCUUAUGACCUGGGCUACACACGUGCUACAAUGGGCGGUACAAAGGGCUGUGAACCCGCGAGGGGGAGCGAAUCCCAAAAAGCCGCACUCAGUUCGGAUUGCAGGCUGCAACUCGCCUGCAUGAAGCCGGAAUCGCUAGUAAUCGCGGAUCAGCAUGCCGCGGUGAAUACGUUCCCGGGCCUU
rnacentral:rRNA from 1 species